rnacentral:misc_RNA from 1 species
AACGCAUAUUGCGCCCCUUGGUAUUCCUUGGGGCACACCUGUUCGAGCGUCAUUUCACCAAUCAAGCCUCGCUUGGUUUUGGGCGAUGCGCAUGUCGCACGCCUCAAAUGCCCCGGCCGAGCAGUCUCUCACCCGGCGUCGUGGAAACAUACCGCUACGGAGACGAGACCUGCCCGUGCCGCAGAAUAACCUAUUAACAAAGGUUGACCUCGGAUCAGGUGGGGAUACCCGCUGAACUUAA